UCAGGAGCCUCUUCCCGCCCCUGCGAGCGGGCCAGAGCAAGAAAAGGCAGCCGGCAGCGGAAUCCCCAGCCGUCGCCCCCGACUGCUGCUUUCUCCGCAAGCCUUUUAACUGCCGGGGAGGGCUGGGAGGCAGCGGCAGCUCAGGUGUCUGGCUGGUCUUGUGUCGUGACAGUCAGCUCCGGGGCCGGAGCAGCCGAGGGGAAGAGGCCUUUUGGUUUGCUUCCCAGCGAAACGGGGGCCUUUUGUUUUCCCUUUGUCCCUAGGUUCGUCCGGAAGCGUCCGUCGACAAGUCAAGGGGAGCGGAACCGAAGGUCGCUCGAGAUGUUACUUCGCCAGGCGUGCCUCGUGCUUGCGAGUCGGAGUGCUGACUACGGAGGGAUCCCUUUUGUAGCCGCCGAGGGCCCGCGAGGCUCCGUGUGCCCGCCGCUUCCGAGUGCUGCGCUGCGGCUCGGGCAACGGCCGGGGAGGAACUGUCGGUCCCUCGUGGUAACGCAGCCGGGCCUGCUAGGCGCUUAAAGCAGCGCGUCCGGCCGGGCAGUAUUGUUUUCCGAGGCUGUAAAGGAGCCCGAGGUAUAAACCCGCUUUACGUUUCCGUACGGCGGUGCGCUUUGUCGGAGAGCUCGGCCGUACUGACGGAGCUGGCACAGGGUUCCCGCGGGACUCCGGCUUUGCCCGUCUCGUGGAAAGGCUCCAGAGCCUGCUUGGGAAGCCGCUUGACAAGGCACGGCUUUGCCGUGAUUUUUACGCCGGAAUUCCGACGGUAACGCCGAUGCCACGUGUUAGCCUUUCUCCAGCAGCUCUUCAAAGCAGAGUGAGCCUUAAGAAUCGGACUGCCUUGUAACGAAAUUCGAAACAAAGCGGCGGGGUGAAGCGGCUGGAAGCGUCCUGCCAGUCUGCCGUGGGUAUCGCUGCCGUGCGUGUUACCUGCCUGUCUGCCGAUCGCUCCUGCCUCUUGUUGUGCCCCGGGCCUCGGCUGUUGCGUGCAGAGAAGCUGUCAGCCUUGUGAGAGAGCACGCCGCCGGCAAGCGCGUCGUGGUGCUUCGGUACCGAGCUGAGACCGCAGGCGUCCGUCUUUUGUUUGCGAAAAGGGAUCGCGAGGAAAGGUGCUGACCUCGGAGGGGGAGAGGUGGCGGGGGAACAGGUAGGAGGCAGCUCUUUCAACCGGUUUUAGGCUUAACUCCUGGGUGCCUGAGCACGGUUCUGGGCUUCGGGGGGUUGGCUUUCGGCUUUUCGCCUUCAGCGCGUCCUCCGUCACCGCUGUCGGCGCGCGCUGAGCUGCGGCUCAGGGGACCGCGGCGAUACAGGCCGUGUGCGUGCCAGCCGUCCUCAAGGCUAGAGCUGUAUUCUGCUUGUUACCCUGAUGGAAGCGUUUCUUUUUUUCUAGGGGGCGUUCCCACAAGGCAGCGGUGUGGAGCCGAAGGGGACUGCGAUUGAACGGGGACGGAGCCGUUUGGACCGAGUCUUGAAGAUCUCUCGGGUUUUUGUCCGAGGAAACUUCGUCUCGAGACGGUCCUAUCGCUCGCUGGCAACGUGACUAGUUGAAUCGAGAAUGUUCGCUGCCGGAACUUCAUCCACCGAGAUGGGAAGCCAGGCAACUUCCUAACGGGCCGUGGGCAGAGUUCCCUUCUUGAUGCCGUGCCUCUAUAAUAAACUGUGCAGUCCGUUAGCUGGACGGGCUGCAGUACCCAAAUUUUUUCGCCAGGUGGCAGCACCGCGCCCCCCCCCGGCGGAGUAAGGGCAGCGCAUGCGCAGACGCGGCAUGACGCCGAAGGGGGCGUGGCCUCCGGGCACGUCGCGGGCCGAUGACGCAAUCCCGCUUUGGCGCAUGCGCAGAAGGGCUUUCUGGCCAAGUAAGGUCAGCGCAUGCGCAGAAGCGGCUUUGACCCUCAGGGGCGGGGCUUCCGGCCCCGUGCGUCCGGGCCGAUGACGCAAUCCCGCUUUGGCGCAUGCGCAGAAGGGCUUUCUGGCCAGGUAAGGUCAGCGCAUGCGCAGAAGCGGCUUUGACCCUCAGGGGCGGGGCUUCCGGCCCCGUGCGUCUGGGCCGAUGACGCAAUCCCGCUUUGGCGCAUGCGCAGAAGCCUUGCUGGCCGACGGAGGGCGGCGCAUGCGCAGAAGCGGCUUUGACCCCCCCCUAGGGGCGGGGCUUCCGGCCUCGUGCGUAGGGGCAGAGGACGCAUCCGG